rnacentral:rRNA from 1 species
UCCGUAGGGUCCGAGCGUUGUCCGGAAUUAUUGGGCGUAAAGAGCUCGUAGGCGGUUUGUCGCGUCUGCUGUGAAAUCCCGAGGCUCAACCUCGGGUCUGCAGUGGGUACGGGCAGACUGGAGUGCGGUAGGGGAGAAUGGAAUUCCUGGUGUAGCGGUGGAAUGCGCAGAUAUCAGGAGGAACACCGAUGGCGAAGGCAGUUCUCUGGGCCGUAACUGACGCUGAGGAGCGAAAGCGUGGGGAGCGAACAGG